rnacentral:rRNA from 1 species
UGGGGAAUAUUGCACAAUGGGGGAAACCCUGAUGCAGCGACGCCGCGUGGAGGAAGAAGGUCUUCGGAUUGUAAACUCCUGUUGUUGGGGAAGAUAAUGACGGUACCCAACAAGGAAGUGACGGCUAACUACGUGCCAGCAGCCGCGGUAAAACGUAGGUCACAAGCGUUGUCCGGAAUUACUGGGUGUAAAGGGAGCGCAGGCGGGAAGACAAGUUGGAAGUGAAAUCUACGGGCUCAACCCAUAAACUGCUUUCAAAACUGUUUUUCUUGAGUAGUGCAGAGGUAGGCGGAAUUCCCGGUGUAGCGGUGGAAUGCGUAGAUAUCGGGAGGAACACCAGUGGCGAAGGCGGCCUACUGGGCACCAACUGACGCUGAGGCUCGAAAGUGUGGGUAGCAAACAGGAUUAGAUACCCUGGUAGUCCACACCGUAAACGAUGAUUACUAGGUGUUGGAGGAUUGACCCCUUCAGUGCCGCAGUUAACACAAUAAGUAAUCCACCUGGGGAGUACGACCGCAAGGUUGAAACUCAAAGGAAUUGACGGGGGCCCGCACAAGCAGUGGAGUAUGUGGUUUAAUUCGACGCAACGCGAAGAACCUUACCAAGUCUUGACAUCCCUUGACAGACAUAGAAAUAUGUUUUCUCUUCGGAGCAAGGAGACAGGUGGUGCAUGGUUGUCGUCAGCUCGUGUCGUGAGAUGUUGGGUUAAGUCCCGCAACGAGCGCAACCCUUAUGGUCAGUUACUACGCAAGAGGACUCUGGCCAGACUGCCGUUGACAAAACGGAGGAAGGUGGGGAUGACGUCAAAUCAUCAUGCCCUUUAUGACUUGGGCUACACACGUACUACAAUGGCGUUAAACAAAGAGAAGCGAACCUGCGAGGGUGGGCAAAUCCCAAAAAUAACGUCCCAGUUCGGACUGUAGUCUGCAACCCGACUACACGAAGCUGGAAUCGCUAGUAAUCGCGGAUCAGAAUGCCGCGGUGAAUACGUUCCC